CUAAAAACUAUGGUGUCACGUAACACCUGCCUAAUAAAAAAUAAAAUUUGCAGAUUUGGGACUUACACAUCGACGAGUAAAUCAAAACUCUCUCCUCUCUCAUAUCAUUAUUAGUGUGAAAAAAAUUCUAUCUUGGCAUGAAAGCUUAUCAGGAGAUGGGAAGAUCCAAUGCAAUUAAUUGGCGUUAAAUUAAGGGCUUAAAUCCAUGAUUGAUAAGGAAGCUGAUAUUAUAUCACAUAUGUCAUGCACCAUGCUGAUCUCUCCAGUGAGGAAAACAUGGGUUUCUGGAAUGUCUGAAAAAUAUGGUUCCAGAUAUUAGGGAGUUAACUUUUGCUUGAAUAUAUCUGGCAUUACCAGGUCAUCAACCUUCAUCUGCUACUGCUCUUCCUGAAGGCCUUGGCAUGAAGCACGGCAAAGCCCAAAGGACAAACCAGUUUCUGGAAUCCUUGAAAGCAGAAGAUGAAAUGAUUGUUGAAGACAUGCAGCCAUCAAUGUUAGCCCAAUAUACAUCAACUGCUCAAAAUCUAACUGAUCCUGUCACUUUGACCGCUGAGAAGAAACUCAAUGUCACUCUAAAACGGGAUGCUUGGUGGAAUGAGUAACUUCGAUGUUCAAGGGAAAUUAUCACUUCAAAUUCUUAACCAAGAAGAUGGGUUCAUCCAAGUUCAGAUUGAAACUAGGGGAAUCCAUGCGUCAUUUUCAAGACACAUCCUAACAUGAACAAAGAAUUAUUCGCUAAUGAAAGCAUUUUAGGCUUGAGGGAUCCCAACAGACCUUUCCCCACUGGUCAAAACAGGGAUCCAGGUGUUGGACUUUGAAGUGGAGAAUGCAAAGAGUCGAUGAGUCAAUGGUGCCCCUGACACGUGGAUACAAAUCUAAAGCAAUAGCUUAUCUGAUCACUUUACACUUUCUGUUGUAUGUUUUAAUGCUAUGUUUAAUUCAUGCAUAUUGCAGUCGAUUGCUGGCCAUCUGAUUCCGGAAAUGAAACAUAUGUCAGCAUCGAGGAUGAAGCUUCAUCAAGGCUUGAUCUAUGAAACAUUGUGAUUUCAGUUCCUCUACCAGCCCUUCGAGAUGCACCAAGUGUUAGGCAGAUUGAUGGAGAACAGAACCUUGCAGCUUCUCAGACAGCACUUGAAGACAUCACAACAACCUUUGGAAUUUCUACUACAUGAUGCUUCCCUUUCAAGCGCUGAGAAACACAGGCAGUCUGCAUCGCCCUUCACAAAGGACCUCUAAAGUAGACAUACAAUUACAUCAGCAUUACUUUGGAUCUCUCCUUUAGUACAUUUCAGCUUCUUUUUGCUUGCUUCAACUGCAGUAUAACAAGUAUUGACAUAAAUAACAACACACACACAUAUAUACACAUUGCUAGAAGUGAUGGAUUGUGAUCUAUGAUCUUCAAUGGACCUACACCACUUUUCUGGUGAGGCAUGCCCAUGCAUUCAACAAAGACUUUCAAUCCUUCUUUGCUUGGAACAAAUAAUUUCCUCUGGAAAUAGGGAACUCAACUUCGACCAUCCUUCUUCUCCCAGGUGACUUUAAUGUUAUACAAGGCUUUAACAACUUGGGAAUAUGAUAUAUGCCUGGCCUUUUUCAGUUUCUUCAGGACAUUUGUACGUAAUAAAAGAAAAUGUUAAAGUA